AAAAAUGAAAUCAUUAGAUGUUUCAUUUACAAUGAAAAUUUUGUUUUUUAAACCAUUUUU
rnacentral:tRNA from 1 species